rnacentral:rRNA from 1 species
GUGGGGAAUAUUGGACAAUGGGCGAAAGCCUGAUCCAGCCAUGCCGCGUGUGUGAAGAAGGCCUUUUGGUUGUAAAGCACUUUAAGCGAGGAGGAGGCUACUUGGAUUAAUACUCUAGGAUAGUGGACGUUACUCGCAGAAUAAGCACCGGCUAACUCUGUGCCAGCAGCCGCGGUAAUACAGAGGGUGCGAGCGUUAAUCGGAUUUACUGGGCGUAAAGCGUGCGUAGGCGGCUUUUUAAGUCGGAUGUGAAAUCCCUGAGCUUAACUUAGGAAUUGCAUUCGAUACUGGGAAGCUAGAGUAUGGGAGAGGAUGGUAGAAUUCCAGGUGUAGCGGUGAAAUGCGUAGAGAUCUGGAGGAAUACCGAUGGCGAAGGCAGCCAUCUGGCCUAAUACUGACGCUGAGGUACGAAAGCAUGGGGAGCAAACAGGAUUAGAUACCCCUGUAGUCC